rnacentral:rRNA from 1 species
GACGUAGGGCGCGAGCGUUGUCCGGAUUUAUUGGGCGUAAAGAGCUCGUAGGCGGCUUGUCGCGUCAACUGUGAAAACCCGUGGCUCAACCAUGUGGUCUGCAGUCGAUACGGGCAGGCUAGAAUUCGGUAGGGGAGACUGGAAUUCCUGGUGUAGCGGUGAAAUGCGCAGAUAUCAGGAGGAACACCGGUGGUGAAGGCGGGUCUCUGGGCCGAUAUUGACGCUGAGGAGCGAAAGCGUGGGGAGCGAACAGG